rnacentral:lncRNA from 1 species
CAACCGAGAGAGUGAGAGAGAGAGCUCUGCAUUUUUCUUCUUAGGCAGCUACAACCGAGAGAGAAAACAGAGCAACCGAACAGCUUUCCCAUUUCUGCAUUCUUUAACCGACCAAAACUGAGAGCCAAGUGAGUGAUAAAAGGAGAAAGAUAGCUUGCAACACAUAUAUCAGCUACAUCAGUGAGGGAAAAAGGAUAGCUGGUGCAAAAAUUGGAGGAACCAGAGCCGAGAGAGAUAGAGCAGUCCGCCAUUAUCGAAUUCUAAGGGAAAAGAGGUAAGAAUCUACCAUAACUUUCUGCUUAGUUAGUACAAUGAGAGUAUAUACAAGCUGCAUGUUAGUUUUUAGCAAGGAACAAUAAGUUUUAUCCGAAGAGAAUCUGAUAAAGGAGAGAAAAAUUGGAACUGGACAGAAAUGGAGGGAACCGAGAGCUGUUGUUGAGUUGCAGCCAUAAAUAAAGUAAAUUUUCUCUAAUAACCUCUGGGUUAUUCAGUACACUAGAAUAUUGAGGUUGCAUGCUGGAUUUUAGCUAAGAAAAACUAAAUUUUGUUGAAGGAAAACUCUGGUUUAGAGAUUUGUUACCUGCUGGAAUUCUCCUUGUUUCAUCCGAGAGCAAGAAAUGAUGAAGUACCAGUUUCUUUUGCGAAUUUUGGUUCUAAAAUUCUGUACUAAGCUAUAAUAUAUCGUGUAGUACUUUGAUUUCUUCAUGCAUGAAAGAUUUGAACACAAACUGAAGAGCUUAUUGGAGAAAAUUUGUGUUAAACUGAUUGCUGUUAGAAUUUUGAAAACAUGGCCGAGGGGGGGAGAUUAGGACCUGGACCAGCUUUGCUUUUCAAUUUCCCUUGGCUGUAAACUUUAUAUCCCUACUGAAGGUACUCUGUAGCUUGAUAACCAACCCUUGCAUGUUGAAUUUGACGAAGAAAGCUGAAGAAAUCUGUUGAGAGAGAGCCGAGAGGGAAAAAUAAACGUAGGAUCAGUUUUCUUUCAAACUUCCACUCUGUGAACUCUCAUAUCUGACAUUUGAGGCUGCUCUGUAGUUUAAUAGUUGUAUUGGCACAAUGAGCUGGGGUUAAACUGAAAGAAAUUAGGGAGGAAAACUAUGAAAUGUGUUAUUGAAUUACCUCAUGGCCAAGAGAGGAAGGGAAGAGCUGAUUAGUCUUUUCCUCUAAGUUAGCUGCAAAAUCUUAUACGUUCUGUACAAGGCUACUUUGUAGCUUAAUAAAUGUGAUUAACCUGUCUAAUUGGGAUAUAAAAUUGGAAGGAGGAACUUGAGUGAAAUGGCAAACGUUGGGCUGAUAUAUUGCUAGGGAGUUGCUUGAAGGCCACGAGAGUUGAUGACAGAUUUUGUGCAUGGUUUGGUUAAACCAUCUGCUACAAUUAGAUGUUUCUUAUCCUAAUUCAUGUUAGAUCAAAUGUAUGUUAAGUAAUUGGUGCUUUAAUCAAGUGAAAAAUGAAGUUCUUGGCCGAAAGCUUGAAGUAAUAUGGCUGAAUUUUUGUGGAUUGGUUGAAUGGUAAUGAGUUAAGCCUUAUAUGAUGUUUAGAAACUCUAAAGUAACUUGUUAUGGCCAUAUACAUAAAAUGGCUCCUAAUCACUUAAGUUUGUCUUUACAACAUUUUAAAGACUAUAAAACUUGAGAGGUUAAGGUUGUGGAACAAAAUUUAAUUCAAAAACAACCUAGAGUUUAGUUAGUUUUAAAAGGGAAAAUGGAGUAUCUAUAAGCCAUAAUUAAUAUUGAAUUGAGAAAGUAUAUUGGUUUGAACGUUAUACAAGCUUAUAAACUUGAAGAUAUGUAUGUUUCAUGGUUUAAAAAUAAUAAAGUCAAUAAGUUUCGGAAAUAAAAUGAUGAAUAAAUAUUGAGAAUGUUAUAUUUGUAUUUUAAGGUCAAACUUGAUUUUAAUAAGUUUAAAGGUCAAACUUGAUUUUAAUAAGUUUAAAUAAAAGAAUAAUAAAUGAUCAUCUACAAAUUAUAUAUUUACUUUGAAAUUAUUAACUUGUAACAGGAAGUAGCCGUGAACCAGGAAACCAACUCGAGACUCGAGAAUAGUCAUUUGAAUCCUUGGUGAGUGUCGUCGAAUGUAUAUGCUUAACUGGUUAUGUUUCUUUAAAUGAAUUUAUGUGAGAAAUGUGCUUGUUUUGAAUAUUGCUAGUGAUUUAUUGUGAUGUGUAUAUCAAUGGUGCCUCCCCUUCUAAGUCGGGAGUGUACUCUAUCGCACUCGACUUAGUUGAGAUCAAAAGUUGAUUAUUGAUUGUAUGAUACUGUAAAUGUGCAUGAAUGUAAGCUUUGGCUGAACUGUGCCCAAAACCCUCUGUUCAACAGACUAUUCGAGCCAGCAAGGGACUUGGUAGGAUAGGACGAUAGCUUUGGGUAAAUGUUUUGGUGUACUCGAGUACUACCUGAAGGUUGGGAGAUUACUGAAUUGAUUGUUGAGUGUAAGGGAUUGUUUAUUGUUUCGGAGAACAUAAGGGGGUGAAUUGGCCUAGUAAAUGCAAUGAUAUUGAAAUGAUUGUCUUGUGACUCUGAAAUGACAGUUCUAUGACAUCGAAAUGACUCCUAGGUGGAAUGCGUAUCCUUUUGAAUGUGAUUGUCCAAUAAAAUGUGCACCGUUUGUUCAGUUGCAAUGAUUUAAGUGUUAUUAACUGUUACUUGCUCGGCAAACCUUUCUGAGUUUUAACUCAACCUGUUAGCUUUGUUCUCCUUACAGGAAUUGGUGGUCAGGGUUUGAACGAGGAAUCUUAGAAACUUGGCAUGAAGACUUUUGUAUUUGUGCACCCCUUUAGUAUCUUAUUAAGGGUUGAAGCUUUUGUAUUAAACUAGGUUCGUAUAAGACUUGAACGGUUGGCUUUUGUUUUAUCAGAUGUUAUCUCUGAAGUUAAUGUAAAUAUUAAUGAGAGUUAUUUAACUGUUAUCUCUAAAGUUAAGGUGAUAAUAGUGAGCUCUGGC